AACGUAGGAGGCAAGCGUUAUCCGAAUUUACUGGGCGUAAAGCGCGUGCAGGCGGUUCGAUAAGUUGGAUGUAAAAACUCCUGGCUCAACUGGGAGAGGUCGUUCAAAACUGUCGGGACUAGAGGACGGUAGAGGGGGGUGGAAUUCCCGGUGUAGUGGUGAAAUGCGUAGAUAUCGGGAGGAACACCUGUGGCGAAAGCGGCCCCCUGGGCCGUUCCUGACGCUCAGACGCGAAAGCUAGGGUA
rnacentral:rRNA from 1 species